GAUGAACGCUGGCGGCGUGCCUAAUACAUGCAAGUCGAGCGAACGGACGAGACUCUUGCUUCUCUGAUGUUAGCGGCGGACGGGUGAGUAACACGUGGAUAACCUACCUAUAAGACUGGGAUAACUUCGGGAAACCUGAGCUAAUACCGGAUGAUAUUUUGAACCGCAUGGUUCAAAAGUGAAAGACGUACUUGCUGUCACUUAUAGAUGGAUCCGCGUUGCAUUAGCUAGUUGGUAAGGUAACGGCUUACCAAGGCAACGAUGCAUAGCCGACCUGAGAGGGUGAUCAGCCACACUGGAACUGAGACACGGUCCAGACUCCUACGGGAGGCAGCAGUAGGGAAUAUUCCGCAAUGGGCGAAAGCCUGACGGAGCAACGCCGCGUGAGUGAUGAAGGUCUUCGGAUCGUAAAACUCUGUUAUUAGGGAAGAACAUAUGUGUAAGUAACUGUGCACAUCUUGACGGUACCUAAUCAGAAAGCAACGGCUAACUACGUG
rnacentral:rRNA from 1 species